rnacentral:rRNA from 1 species
GACGAACGCUGGCGGCGUGCUUAACACAUGCAAGUCGAACGGAAAGGCCCUGCUUUUGUGGGGUGCUCGAGUGGCGAACGGGUGAGUAACACGUGAGUAACCUGCCCUUGACUUUGGGAUAACUUCAGGAAACUGGGGCUAAUACCGGAUAGGAGCUCCUGCUGCAUGGUGGGGGUUGGAAAGUUUCGGCGGUUGGGGAUGGACUCGCGGCUUAUCAGCUUGUUGGUGGGGUAGUGGCUUACCAAGGCUUUGACGGGUAGCCGGCCUGAGAGGGUGACCGGCCACAUUGGGACUGAGAUACGGCCCAGACUCCUACGGGAGGCGGCAGUGGGGAAUAUUGUACAAUGGGCGGAAGCCUGAUGCAGCAACGCCGCGUGCGGGAUGACGGCCUUCGGGUUGUAAACCGCUUUCGCCUGUGACGAAGCGUGAGUGACGGUAAUGGGUAAAGAAGCACCGGCUAACUACGUG